GGGGACAUAGUUUAAUUGGCAAAACUGCGAUUUUGCAUAUCGUUAAUUCAGGUUCGAUUCUUGAUGUCUCCA
rfam:Rhynchosporium commune strain TK7 genome assembly, contig: RCO7_mito